rnacentral:misc_RNA from 1 species
AGCGGCCGCUAAGUUUGCCUUUUUGCAGCUGAAGAAAAUCCUUCCGGAUGCUUCUGAACCGAUUCAACAUCUCGUCUCUCACUGGGGAACAGACCCAAAUUCUCUUGGCUCCUACAGCUACGAUGCAGUCGGAAAACCUCAUGGUCUUUACGAGAGGCUGCGUAUCCCAGUCGACCACCUCUUCUUCGCAGGGGAAGCCACGAGUACCGACUACACUGGCACUGUGCAUGGUGCCUUCUCCACUGGGCUUUUGGCAGCACAAGAGUGUCGAAUGCGUGUUCUGGAAAG